GUGUUUCUAAGGCAGUCUUUCUACACACUGGACUUUUAAAUUCAGAUGGGGAGCAAGAAAUACAUUUUCAUUAAAAAGUGAACUACGAUAUCCGGAUCUCAGCACGCCUCAUGGAGAACAAUCUGAAGUUUGGAGUGCUCCAUAAGUCUUGGGGCAGAGCUUAUGCUGCACUUGACAGGCAUGGGCAGCAGCUGUGGCUACUAAUGCCGACUGAUUUAUUUGGCUGUUAUCUGACAGUUUCUUUACUUAAGGGAGAAGGAGGAUGGAUGACAUCUUGCAUAUUCAGAUAGCUCUUAUUGCAGUGUGCAGUGCUCCUCUAUGUAUUUCAUUUUUUAUCCUUUGAAGGCCUAUCAUUUUUUAGGGAAAUGAGAGUUAUGGAUUCACGGAAUUGCUUUUGUUGGAAAGACAUCUAAGAACAUUGAGUCCAACAGUCAACCUAUUGCCACCAUGGCCAUUAAAACAUGGCUGCAAGUGCUAUGCCCAUGUGAUUCUUGAACAUCUCCAGGGCUGGGAACUCCACCUGGGCAGGCUGUUCCACUCUUGCAAGGAAGAAUUUAUUCCUAAUACCCUACCUAAACCUCCCCUGACAUAAUUUCAAGCUAUUUCCUCUCUUUCUAUCACCUGAUACUAAAAAGAUGUUCUUCUUGCCUUCCUCCAUUGCCAUCCAUCUCCUGCCCACGCACUUUUGAAUGCCUUGAUUAACCUCACCUGAAUCUGAUCAUGAGAUGAAGCUUCAUUAAAGGCAUCUCACUGUUAAUAAAUAGUAACAACUUCCUUCAGUAAGCCUAUUUAAUAUGAAGACCUUGGUUCUUCUUCCAUUAUGGUAAGUGGACUAAAGCUAAAACUUUUUAUGGAGCUCCCUCUAAUUUCUGGAUGUAGCUUACCACUUCACUUACCAGAAAAUUCUGGUUACCCAACCCUUUUCUAAGCUGGAUGUGUUGACAGCUGGCUGUCUUCAACAGCUAGCUCAUAAUGAUGCUUGCAUUUUCCUUUGAAUGCUCCAACUGCUAAGGGCUAAGAUCACUGCAUAUUGUAGGAUAGUUCAUCUGGUACUUCCUUACUAAGCAAGCUUCAAUUUAGUCCAUGUCUUACUAAAAUAACUGUGGAAUCAUAAAAUCCUAAACUAUGAGGUUAGUAAUCACUAUGCUUGGUGGUGUGUGGUUUAAGCAGUACUUUGUGUCUCAAAUCAUCAGCAACCUAUGAAGGAAUCAAAAUCACUUAAAACAAAAAGAUAAUUAUGCAGUGUUUUAAUAGAAUCAUUAAAAAUUCAUUAUAUUAUCUGCAUGUCUUGCUCUCUAAAAAAAAAAAGGCAGAAAAUGAUCUGUUUUUUAAAUCCUAUCUCUGUUAAAUCAAAGUGCUGCAGGAUUUCUUGUGCUGAAGUCUCCCCUCAGCCUCUUCCAUGCUGAACAAGUUCCCUCAGCUGCUCCUCACAAGACUUGCAUUCUAGACCCUCUGUCAGCUUCAUUAUCCUUCUUUGGUCCCUCUAAAACACCUUGAUGUCCUUGUAGAGAGAGACCCAAAUCUGAGCUCAGUAAUUGAGGUGUGACCUCACCAGAGACAAUCCCUGCUCUGGUCCUGCUGGCCAUGCUAUUGAUGACACAAGCCAGGUGUACAUUAGAGCUAAUAUCAUCACCCCAAAAUAAUAAUAAUGACCCCGAAUCUCUGUGCUUUUAGGUCUAAAGCAGGUGGGAAGCUUAGGAGCAAGGAAGGGGAGUGGGACCUCCUGGAUAGCCAUUUGUCAUGCCCUAUCAGAAACUCACAUUGGGGUAUCAACACACUUCCCAUGUAGGGUUUGCUCUUUGUCUGACAGUAAUGGAAGUGGUGGAAGAUAUGGUAGAAUAUUUCUGCUCCUGCCUCCUGUCCUCCCAAAGUAGGUAUGGCCAUUGAAGCCCAUCCUCUUCUCCAGGUGGUUGGAAGUGGGCAGGACUCAGAGCAAUGAAGGGCUGUCUAUGAAUUGCCCUUAUGCAGAUUUGGUGUGUCUAGCUUUUAACUGGGUUAAGGGAUUCAUGUGUGAAUAAACAGUUUUUCUCCAUUAGCCCUUUUGGCCCUCUAAGUCAGGCUAGAGCUCAUCAUAAUUGUUUAUUUAAUAUUUAGUUUAUGUCACUAAUCAUCUUUAUUUGCAAGGAGCUGAUUGUAUUUAAACCCUGGGAAGUCAAUGAGUAUUUUAUUACCAAUUUCAUUAAGGCCAGCAUUUUAAUCCUUGCCAUCUAAAUCUCUGCAUUUGAGCAGGAAUUUCUCCAGAGCUUUAAAUCUGAGAGCAAUGGGUGACCUUUGCCAAUCACACCAUCUAUUAUUAUAUUCAGUGCUGGGGUAGCUGCAGCAUUAGGAGGACUCUUCAGCUAAGAAGUAUGUAAAUCAACAAUAUGACAGUGAUAAUGGAAUGUGCACUGUGAAAUUAUCUAAUUACUGACACUUUGAGGCUAUAUCAACAAUUUGUUUUGAAACAGGAUAUAAUUAAUUUUUUUUACUCCAAGUGCAUCCUGAGGAGCAAUAAACUUUCCACUUUCAGCUAACAGAGGGAACAAAAGAUGCCAUGUGAAGGUGAUUUUGAACAUCUGGAGGAUAAUAUUCUCACUGAAAACGUCGUGGCUACAAGUCUUGGAGCUGUUUGUUGAAACUUGAUGGAUAUGGAAUGGUUGGACUUGAUGAUCUUGAAGGUCUUUUCCAAUCUAGAUGAUUCUAUGAAAAGGAUGUUCCCAAAGGAAAAGGAGAGGAUGAAAAUAGUAACAGAUGCUACAUCACCCCAAUAACGUUAGCUUUGGCCAUGGAAGGUACCUAGAGGCUGGUUUGAACAGGAAUUGCUUUAUUGGGUCACAGCUUUGAAAAGUAAAGUGGCAAAAUGAACAGAUGCAUCUCAUCUGUUAUUUAGAAUAAGAAUAAUCAGAGAUGCUUCUAAGUGUUGGGAGGUCACGACUGUGAUUUGGUGAUACCAGCUGUGAAGCAGAAAUAAGAGUCAGUGUGAAGUAAUUAUUAGAGUUAACUCGACUCUUGGAAAGGUGUCUAUGAACAUAUUUACUUCAAAUCUGUUAGCUUUCCAUAAAUCCAAAUGUGUGAGUAUUGCAGGGGGCAGCAGAUGUCUGUCUGAAUAUGAGGAGAAACUUCCUUGCUGUGAAGGUGCUGGAGCCCUAGAGCAGGCUGUCCAGAGAGGUUGUGGAGUCUCCUUUUCUGCAGAGAUUCCAAACCCACCUGGACACUGUAUUCCUUGGCAAGCUGCUGUGAGUGACCCUGCUUUAGCAGGGGUGUUAGAUUAGAUAUCUCCAGAAGUGACUUCUAACCCUCACCAUUGUGGGAUUUUGUGAAAGAAAAGUUUCUCAGAUUACAUUGCUUGUAGCUUGCCAGAGCCCUUCCCUCUUUGUGUCUCAAACAAAAAAAUUUGGAUUGCAACCAUUUAACAAAAACAGUUGCAGGAAAACUUGGGACUCACAUUCUCUUCUGAUCAUUGUUUUGAAUUAAUUAUAACCUAGAUAACCCAUCAGUACCAUCCUGAUGAGAAUGUUAUCUCUCCAGUGUCACAGCCUUUAAUAAAAGUUAGAGUGGCCUCAUUCCUGACCUUCCUAUGUUUAUGGCUUCUGCUUGUCCUGGUAGGGCAUAAAUUCUGCCAGGCCGUUUUAACCCUUGCUCUUCUCCUGUUGCAGAUCCAGGAGUAGAUGAGCAAACAAGGAAGGGUUUGGCCCCAGCAAAGCUUUGAGGGCUAGAGGCUUAGCACCACGUGUCAGGUGCCUUACGCUGCCCCUCAAGGUGCCUGCAUGGUCAUACGAGGCACAAAGCUUUGAAUUCGUUGGCCAGAACAGUGGUGCCAGUGCCUAUUGGCCAGUUUCAUUUUCAAAACGCUGUAUUUAAUGGGGGGUGAUUUAGAAACCACCUUUCUGCACUGACACUCCACCGGGAGCAGCACUCCAUUUGCAGCUCAUUAACUGGAACCACCACAGCCACGUGUUUGCAGCCUGCAUUGGCAGCUCAGCAGCAGCAACUCAGUUCUCCUCUUCCCUCUGCCUAGAAUAUUUUGUAUUUUACCCCGGGAUCAUUACUGUGAGUUUUGGAAGUGUCUUUAUAUAGGAAGCUUACUCAGAGACCAAAGUGUCAUGAGUACAUAUGCUGGAGUUAGUGCUAAGACUCCAUAUGCAUAGCUGAAUUUUCUUGGGUUUGUGUUCCUAUUUUUCCAGGUUCUGAUUGUUUAAACUGUUUAGUUCCAUGUUCAUAAAGACCCUUUGUGCAGCUACUUCCUGUUGACUGAAAAUCCAAAGAAUCUCAGGGAAUUUUCCUGAAUUUUGAGCUAUUAUUAAUCAAAUUAAUAUUCAUACAUUAAUAUUCAUAACUGAUUAUUAAUUUCCACCGCACUGUUCCUGAAGCUCAUUUUGUUUCAGCCUCCACCUUGGCAUCUCUACAUUCUUUAACCUCAACGACUUUGGUAUGGUUCUUUCAGUGCUGAACUUCCCCCAUUUUGUUUUCUGCAGAAUAUGAAGUCUGCUGCUUGCUUAUCAAAUAUGAAACUCUGCACAACUGGGCAACCUAAUGCUAAUGGAAUCGAUGCAGCAAAAGAGAUCUCACAACCUCUCUGUACUUUUUACAAUUUACUUUGUUCGUCACCCAUUAAUUCUUACAUUGAUUUUGCUAUAAACCACAAACUGCAUUCCUAUCACAGCCCCAGGGAAAAAAAAAGAAACAUUGAUUAUAUUGGAACAAGGUAUGUUGUAAAAAUGAAAUGCCUAAAACAUUUAAAUGUAGUAAGCCCUGCUAAAGUGCAUAAAUCACAUUGUUUAAUGUUGUAAAUGAGUGGUGCUGCCUUAAACAAGAGAAAAAUAUGGUGCCAUAAACCAAUUUUGACACAAACUAACAGGCUCUGUUUCUCUAUACCUGCCAUUUGAGGAAUGUUAUCAAUAAUGAUUAUGGUUGUAUGCAGGUGGGAGGAGGGAAAGGUUCUCAACAUCCCCUUUAAAAAGUUCCCUCAAAGUCACUUUGGAAAAUUGACAACAGUGGUGGUUUACCUGGCUAUAAAUAACACCUGAUUA